rnacentral:tRNA from 1 species
GAAAUAUAAUUGUCUUAAAAUUAAGCUGCUAACUUAAUUUUUAGUGGUUAAAUUCCAUUAAUAUUUCU